CUCUGCCGCCGCAGAUGAAUUCGACUGCUCCUACUACUACAACUACUAAUACUGUCACCACUGCUACUAAUACUACAACGGCGAGUAACACUUCGGUGUCAACGACGAGUGCGGGUGCUAAUACUGUAGCGUUUGCGGACGAUCCGUGUAAGAAGAUCCGUAAACCUUAUACUAUCACCAAGUCUAGAGAGAGCUGGACGGAACAAGAGCACGACAAGUU
rnacentral:misc_RNA from 1 species